rnacentral:rRNA from 1 species
AGUGAACGCUGGCGGUGGGCCUAACACAUGCAAGUCGAACGGCAGCACAGAGGAGCUUGCUCCUUGGGUGGCGAGUGGCGGACGGGUGAGGAAUACAUCGGAAUCUACUCUGUCGGGGGGGAUAACGUAGGGAAACUUACGCUAAUACCGCAUACGACCUACGGGUGAAAGCAGGGGAUCUUCGGUCCUUGCGCGAUUGAAUAAGCCGAUGUCGGAUUAGGUAGUUGGCGGGGUAAAGGCCCACCAAGGCGACGAUCCGUAGCUGGUCUGAGAGGAUGAUCAGCCACACUGGAACUGAGACACGGUCCAGACUCCUACGGGAGGCAGCAGUGGGGAAUAUUGGACAAUGGGAGCAAGCCUGAUCCAGCCAGACCGCGUGGGUGAAGAAGGCCUUCGGGUUGUAAAGCCCUUUUGUUGGGAAAGAAAUCCAUCUGGUUAAUACCCGGAUGGGAUGACGGUACCCAAAGAAUAAGCACCGGCUAACUUCGUGCCAGCCGCCGCAGUAA